rnacentral:rRNA from 1 species
UUGGCUCUCGCAUCGAUGAAGAACGCCAGCGAAACGCGAUAAGUAAUGUGAAUUGCAGAAUUCAGUGAAUCAUCGAAUCUUUGAACGCACCUUGCGCUCCUCGGUAUUCCGAGGAGCAUGCCUGUUUGAGUGUCAUGAAAUUAUCAACCCCUCCCCCUUCAUCGGCGGUGGGGCUUGGACUUGGAGGCUUUGCGGGCUUUUAACGAGUCGGCUCCUCUC